rnacentral:ribozyme from 11 species
AAAGAAAGAAAGAAAGAAAGAAAGAAAGAGUCUGAUCAAUCGAUCGAUCCUGUUUCUCCCAUUCUCCUUUCAGUCCCCUGGCUUCCGCUUCUAUUCUGCCAAUCCAUCCAAUCUGUA